CUGGGCUGUGCAGUUUUCAGCGACUGACUUCGCCUCUCAGGCUCAGCUUGUCCUUCUUAUAUGGGACGUUAACUCCCUCUGGCAAGUGUCAUAGUGAAAAUCUAACGAAAAUCCUUUUGGAAAGCGCUAAGGCACACAGUAGGCACUCAAUCCCUGCUCUCUCGCUCUCCGCCCGCCCCUCUAUGCGUGCCAGGGUAGCGCGUUCCCGCUCCCGCUUCCCGCCUCCGGCAUCCUCGCCUGACUCGCGCGUCCCGCGGCUAAGGGACUGGGGCAGAGAGGACCAAACAGAAAAUUAUUUCCGCCCGCUCGGCCCGCCCCGCCCCGCCCCGCCCCGCCCGUCCCCGGAGCCAGAAGGGGAUUGUGGGGCCGCCGCGGCCGCCGCCGGAGCCGAGCGGGGCGGAAGCGCGCGUUGCGCUGCUGCUCGGGCCCGACCGCGCCGGCCCCCGCACCUCCCGGCCCGGGACUGCGGGCUGUGGUCGGGGCGGUCCCGGGGCCCGAGGCGGCUGCCGCCGCGCGCGUUUCCACGAAGCCUGGCUCUCUUGUUCCCAGAACCGAGCGGGGGAGGCUGAAGAGUGUUGAGGUUUCGCUUCUGCUAGCCGGCCGGGCGCUUGGUUUCGCGGUUCCCGGGGGCUGGGGGCGCGCCCUCCGGAUUAGAAAGCCCCGGGCUCCGGGAAGGAACUGCGCCGGCGCCCGCGGGUUUGCGUUGGGUUUGCGUCUCGCUUUCCCUCCCGAAAGCAAAGCUUCUGACCUUGGGGCGUUCAGAGAGGUUAAGUUACUUUCUCGAGGUAACCCAGUCUGUAAGAGGCUUCAGGUGGUUUCCUGCCGGGUAGGAGAGCCUGGCGAGGCCGAAUAGAAGGAGAAAGGCUGGGGCCAGAGAGACGUGGGUUCAAGACUCAGCCUAGCCACUUACUGGCUUUGACCAUCGGUUAGUAAUUACUACUCCGCGACCCUCAAUACCCCCAUCUCAGAAUGUGAUCGCUACUUCCAACCUUAGGGCUGAUGUCAACAGUGACACUGUCGAGUGUGGGGCAUAGGGAAGGGUGUUUUCCCCGUCAAAGGUUAUGUCCCUGCGGUGGUCUCUCCAGCAGGCCUGCCUGGGGUGCGAGGGCGGGUGUACAGGUUCUUUCCUAAGUCAGACAUCCUGUGCAAGAGGGAAAGAAGCUCGAUUUAAAGGGGAACUGGUGGGAGUUAGGGGAUUCCCCAGGCAUUAGGCGGCCAGCCGUCAUGAUUAUUGUAAAUAGUGACUCUGCGUGGUGGGAUUUUUGGCUUUUCAAAUCUUUCUACGGGAACAGCACAGUACUUAGUGUCAAAUCCCGCCUCUGCCAUUAGCUGGCAGUGUGACACACAGUCUGGCUACCUCAGUUUGCCAAUCUGGAACAUGGGGAUAGUUAGAUGCCCUAUCCAAUCGCGGGGGCUUUGGCAGCUCCAACCAGCCAAGAUCCCAAAGGAUGCUUUAAGAGCUGUGAGUGAACCCAAGUGGUCCCUUUGAUUACAUUAGGUUGUAAGGGAACUUCCGUUAGGGAGCUAAGAUGGAUAGGAAAGGAAGAGGUUCGUGGGGUGAAGUAGCCAUCUGCCCGGUCUUUUCUCAGAGCUACCUGGAAUCUAGUCCCAGCCCUGCCCUUGGGCAAAGCACUUGUCCUCUCUGGCAUUUGGUUGGGUGACCGGAUCUUGAAAAUCUCCUUGCAGUUAACAUUUUGUGGUUGAUGACUUUGCUCCUGGGAAGUUUCCAGGCUGAGAGAUGACAGAUGAAUAGCAUAUUUGCCCUGCUAUGUUCCCCUUUUCCUCCAGUUCCUCCUGAAGUCUAAUCUCCAUUCCUCCUGUUAUAGUUGCUGUCAUGACAGAAGUUGAAAACGUUGUAUUCUUCAGUCUUUUAGCAAACACUUCAUUGAGUCUUCACGGAUGGGCCAUAGGAGAGACACAGAUAACACCAAGGAUGGUGGGAAUGACAGACAUACAGAGAAAUAACUUCAGGGAUAAAAGAGCCGUGCUGGUGUUCAGGAACAGUGCUAACACGGGCAGGAAAAGAAGUAAUUGUGUUUAGGGAGUCAGAGAAGGUCUCAGCUGGGACCAAGUGGGUACAGGCAGAUAAGAGACAGAAGAACAUUCCAGGUGGGGUGGACAGCAUGUUCAAAGGCACAGAGGUAGGAACCAGCAAAGUGUGUACUGAAGUUUGUCUUGUGUGGUAGGUGUGGCAGGAAAACAGUAGGGAGGCUUAGAGGGGUAGCCUUAAGACAAACUAGAUUAAGACAAAGCUAGAUUAAGGGGACCUUGCAUAUUUGCUAAGGACUUUGGAUUUAAUCCCAAGGGCAGUGGGGAGUCACUAAGGGCUUUUAAGAGGUGCAAACAUGGCUUGUCAAGUCUGGAGUUGGUUAGGAUUGGGGGAGGCUGGAGGUUGGGAGAUUGGUUAGGAUAGCAAUCCUCAACCUUUAAAAUUCAUGGGAAUCCCUGGGGGGUCUUGUUAAAAUGCAGAUUCUGAUUCAGUAGGUCUGAGGUGGGGGUCUGAGAUCCAUCAUUUUUAACAAGCUCCCAGGUGAUGCUGUAUUGUUGAUCCAAAGAGCACACUUGAACAGCAAGUGGUAGCAGACUUGUAAGGGCCCUGCGGAGAGAAGAUGGUCUGACUCCAGCAGAGCGGAGGGGAUGAGUGGAGCACUGGGGAUGAGGAUGUCUAGAAGCAUUUGUUGACGGCUGCAACGAUGUGUGAGAUAAUGGGCCAGACUUGGUGACGCAGAAAGGAUUGAAACAGGUUGCAGCCCUGCAGCAACUGCCUCUUCAAGAGCCCUGCACCUCUUCAAGGUGGAGAGGAAGGGCUGGCUGGUGGGCAGGCAAACUGCACCAUACAGUGUGACGUGUUAUCGGAGGUGGGGUGGCUGGACCGCUCUGCAGAGAGCCCCAGAGAAGGAGCUCCAGUGUCUGCCCAAGGAAGUCGGGCAAGGCUCUUUGGAAGAGACAGGGUCGGAGCUAUGACUUGAAGGUGACCAGGAGUUUGCUGGGUCAUCAGGACAUGAAGCCAUUGCUGGCUGGGGGCUCAGAUGAAGAACAGGAGAGGGAGCCCCUUGGGGCCGAGGGACCUCCAGUGAGCAGUGUUCCCCAAGUGUGGCCUGCCGCAGAAGCAGAGAAAGCAGCCAUGUGGGUGUGGGUUCAGGUUUGAGUGUGUGCUCGGAGUGCGAAGCAUUUCGGGUACAAUUUACCUCCCUUAUGGCAGGGGCAGGGUGAGGCCUCGGGGCUCACUGGCAUGACUGAGACCCAGAAUCAGAAGCAGACACUGAAGGCCUUCAAGCUGGAUGGUGGAGUUGGGACUGAAAAUCCUGCAGUCACACCUGACUUCCCACUCUCCACCACUGGCCUGGCCACUUCUGUUGAAAUGUCUCUGGGGACACCUGGGUGGCUCAGUUGGUUAAGCUGCUGCCUUUGGCUCAGUCAUAAUCCCAGGGUCCUGGGAUCGAGUCCCACAUUGAGCUCCUUGCUCACUGGGAAGCCUGCUUCUC